rnacentral:rRNA from 1 species
CAUUGAUAAGUUGAACGCGUAUUGCACGUCGUGGGAACCUACCAUGACGUACACAUACUUGAGC